UACGUAGGGGGCGAGCGUUGUCCGGAUUUAUUGUGCGUAAAGGGUACGCAGGCGGCCAUGUCAGUCAGGUGUGAAAUUCUAUAGCUUAACUAUAGUCAGCACUUGAAACUGUGUGGCUUGAGUUAAGGAGAGGAAAGUGGAAUUCCUAGUGUAGCGGUGAAAUGCGUAGAUAUGAGGAGGAAGACCAGUGGCGAAGGCGACUUUCUGGACUUAUACUGACGCUGAGGUACGAAAGCGUGGGGAGCAAACAGG
rnacentral:rRNA from 1 species